rnacentral:ncRNA from 4 species
CGGGAGUAACUAUGACUCUCUUA